rnacentral:rRNA from 1 species
UACGUAGGGUGCGAGCGUUAAUCGGAAUUACUGGGCGUAAAGUGUGCGCAGGCGGCUGAGCAAGUCGAGUGUGAAAGCCCCGGGCUUAACUUGGGAAUUGCGCUCGAAACUACUUGGCUUGAGUGUGGCAGAGGAAGGUGGAAUUCCACGUGUAGCGGUGAAAUGCGUAGAGAUGUGGAAGAACACCGAUGGCGAAGGCAGCCUUCUGGGCCAACACUGACGCUCAUGCACGAAAGCGUGGGGAGCAAACAGG